AGACUGACGGUAAAUGGACUCACCAUCACUGCCAGUAUUGCACUCAAGAGGGAUAAGACUGGUAGGCCAACGGUCAGCACUGUCAACUGUGUGGCCAACGUGGGCAGCGCCAGCAUCAAGGUCCAUGGUGGGGCCAGCAGGCUGGACAAUCUUUUCACGUCCUACACUGACAAGGCCCUGCACAGUGCUCUGUAGAAACAGAGUUGGAGUCACUAAGGCAAGAGGCUAAAGGUAAAAUCUCUCUCGCUCUCUCUCCCUUUCUCGUUCCACCUCUCUCCCUCGC